UGAGCCUGGUGAUAGCUGGUUACCCAGAACAGAAUUUUAGUUCAACUUUAAACUUACCCCAAAAACCUCCUAAAAUUCUAAUGUAAGUUUAAAAUAUAAUCUAAAAAGGUACAGCUUUUUAGAACUAGGAUACAGCCUCCUUAGAGAGUAAGCAUAAACAUAAACCAUAGUUGGCUUAAAAGCAGCCAUCAAUUAAGAAAGUGUUCAAGCUCAACAAUCAAAACACCUUAAUGUCAAAAAAUGCAACCAACUCCUAACUCAAUACUGGGUCAAUCUAUUCAACAAUAGAAGCAAUAAUGCUAAUAUAAGUAACAAGAAAUACUUCUCCUUGCAUAAGCUUAUAUCAGAGCGGAUAACCACUGAUAGUUAACGACAAGAUAAAUAUAACCUAACCAUAAACCAAAUAUCAAACCAAUUGUUAACCCAACACAGGUAUGCAAAUAAGGAAAGAUUAAAAGAAGUAAAAGGAACUCGGCAAACACAAGCCCUGCCUGUUUACCAAAAACAUCACCUCUAGCAUUUCUAGUAUUAGAGGCAGUGCCUGCCUGGUGACAUUAGUUAAACGGCCUCGUGUAGAGAAAGAGUGU